rnacentral:lncRNA from 1 species
UCGGAGGCAUCGAUCACACUAUCAAUCAAAGCACUUAGUAUAGUUAGAUCUUUUAUUUUGAUCAUGGCAUGUAUAGGACUUUGACUUUUGAGUUUUGUGUCAUUGUUAAUUGGCCAAUAUGUUAGCUUACUUUAGCAUUUGAUUCAGUUUGUAUAAGUCCAUGUGUGACAGCCCUAAUUUGACCCCAGUCGGGAAGUGGUUUCGGGACCACUAAACCGAGUUGUGAAAAUAAUUGAAUGAUAAAUUUUGUGCUUAAUUUGUGUGAAAACGCAUAUGUGAAUUUGUGGUGCUUUGAUUUAUGCCAAUUAAGGUGAAUUUU